rnacentral:rRNA from 1 species
UACGUAGGGUGCGAGCGUUAAUCGGAAUUACUGGGCGUAAAGCGUGCGCAGGCGGUUUUGUAAGCCAGGUGUGAAAUCCCCGGGCUCAACCUGGGAAUGGCAUUUGGGACUGCAAGGCUGGAGUGCGGCAGAGGAGACUGGAAUUCCUGGUGUAGCAGUGAAAUGCGUAGAUAUCAGGAGGAAUACCGAUGGCGAAGGCAGCCUCCUGGGCCAGCACUGACGCUCAUGCACGAAAGCGUGGGGAGCAAACAGG